GUUGUUGGGUAGGGGAGCGUUCUGUAAGCCUGCGAAGGUGUGCUGUGAGGCAUGCUGGAGGUAUCAGAAGUGCGAAUGCUGACAUAAGUAACGAUAAAGCGGGUGAAAAGCCCGCUCGCCGGAAGACCAAGGGUUCCUGUCCAACGUUAAUCGGGGCAGGGUGAGUCGACCCCUAAGGCGAGGCCGAAAGGCGUAGUCGAUGGGAAACAGGUUAAUAUUCCUGUACUUGGUGUUACUGCGAAGGGGGGACGGAGAAGGCUAUGUUGGCCGGGCGACGGUUGUCCCGGUUUAAGCGUGUAGGCUGGUUUUCCAGGCAAAUCCGGAAAAUCAAGGCUGAGGCGUGAUGACGAGGCACUACGGUGCUGAAGCAACAAAUGCCCUGCUUCCAGGAAAAGCCUCUAAGCAUCAGGUAACAUCAAAUCGUACCCCAAACCGACACAGGUGGUCAGGUAGAGAAUACCAAGGCGCUUGAGAGAACUCGGGUGAAGGAACUAGGCAAAAUGGUGCCGUAACUUCGGGAGAAGGCACGCUGAUAUGUAGGUGAAGUCCCUCGCGGAUGGAGCUGAAAUCAGUCGAAGAUACCAGCUGGCUGCAACUGUUUAUUAAAAACACAGCACUGUGCAAACACGAAAGUGGACGUAUACGGUGUGACGCCUGCCCGGUGCCGGAAGGUUAAUUGAUGGGGUCAGCGCAAGCGAAGCUCUUGAUCGAAGCCCCGGUAAACGGCGGCCGUAACUAUAACGGUCCUAAGGUAGCGAAAUUCCUUGUCGGGUAAGUUCCGACCUGCACGAAUGGCGUAAUGAUGGCCAGGCUGUCUCCACCCGAGACUCAGUGAAAUUGAACUCGCUGUGAAGAUGCAGUGUACCCGCGGCAAGACGGAAAGACCCCGUGAACCUUUACUAUAGCUUGACACUGAACAUUGAGCCUUGAUGUGUAGGAUAGGUGGGAGGCUUUGAAGUGUGGACGCCAGUCUGCAUGGAGCCGGCCUUGAAAUACCACCCUUUAAUGUUUGAUGUUCUAACGUUGACCCGUAAUCCGGGUUGCGGACAGUGUCUGGUGGGUAGUUUGACUGGGGCGGUCUCCUCCUAAAGAGUAACGGAGGAGCACGAAGGUUGGCUAAUCCUGGUCGGACAUCAGGAGGUUAGUGCAAUGGCAUAAGCCAGCUUGACUGCGAGCGUGACGGCGCGAGCAGGUGCGAAAGCAGGUCAUAGUGAUCCGGUGGUUCUGAAUGGAAGGGCCAUCGCUCAACGGAUAAAAGGUACUCCGGGGAUAACAGGCUGAUACCGCCCAAGAGUUCAUAUCGACGGCGGUGUUUGGCACCUCGAUGUCGGCUCAUCACAUCCUGGGGCUGAAGUAGGUCCCAAGGGUAUGGCUGUUCGCCAUUUAAAGUGGUACGCGAGCUGGGUUUAGAACGUCGUGAGACAGUUCGGUCCCUAUCUGCCGUGGGCGCUGGAGAACUGAGGGGGGCUGCUCCUAGUACGAGAGGACCGGAGUGGACGCAUCACUGGUGUUCGGGUUGUCAUGCCAAUGGCACUGCCCGGUAGCUAAAUGCGGAAGAGAUAAGUGCUGAAAGCAUCUAAGCACGAAACUUGCCCCGAGAUGAGUUCUCCCUGACUCCUUGAGAGUCCUGAAGGAACGUUGAAGACGACGACGUUGAUAGGCCGGGUGUGUAAGCGCAGCGAUGCGUUGAGCUAACCGGUACUAAUGAACCGUGAGGCUUAACCUUACAACGCCGAAGCUGUU
rnacentral:rRNA from 1 species